UGCGUCCUUAGUUCAGUCUGGAAGAACGUAGGUUUCCAAAACCUAAUGUCGUGGGUUCAAAUCCUACAGGACGCGA
rnacentral:tRNA from 1 species